rnacentral:rRNA from 1 species
UACAGAGGUCUCAAGCGUUUGUUCGGAUUCAUUGGGCGUAAAGGGUGCGUAGGUGGCGCGGUAAGUCGGGUGUGAAAUUUCGGAGCUUAACUCCGAAACUGCAUUCGAUACUGCCGUGCUUGAGGACUGGAGAGGAGACUGGAAUUUACGGUGUAGCAGUGAAAUGCGUAGAGAUCGUAAGGAAGACCAGUGGCGAAGGCGGGUCUCUGGACAGUUCCUGACACUGAGGCAACGAAGGCCAGGGGGAGCAAACGGG